AGCAGCGAGUAAAGCCGGAAGUUGGCAGUUUAAAACAAAGUAAGAACAUUGUUUUGCCUCAGUGUUUUCUCACUCUCUCCUAUUGACUGUCAAGAACAGUAUGGCGCCAUAGCUUAACCUGACCAUACUUUAACCUAUUUCAUGGAUUUUUCUGUUUUGAUAAAGUUUUGAAGUAUUUUAUAUAAGGUACUGGAAAAUAUUAAAAAUAAUAAGAAUGACUUGUUGUUGUAUCUGUGGCUUGGAAUAUAUGUACAAGAUGCAGGGAAUUAGCUUCCAUAGUCUUCUAAAGAACACAGGGAAAAAAAUCGAUGGCUAGCUAGUGUUAAAAGAAAAAUUUGUAAUUUUUCGUGCACUGAUAAAUCAGUAAUAUGCAGCCAACAUUUCAAAAAAGAAUGUUUUGUAAUAAUAGGCAGUGGCAAAUUAUACUUGAAAGCAGAUACCGUACCAACAAUAUUUAAUAUACCAUUAAAAGGAAAAUAUAAUAUCAACGUAAUGAUGAGGCCAUUCAACAGCCAAAUACAUAUAAUGAUAUAAGUAUUAGAAAUAUAUCACCUAUGAAAUAUCUUCAUGAAAAACAUGCAGAACUUGUUUGUGAUGAAUAAAUUGCUGGAACAAAUACACAAAUGAAUGCUAUGAAUAAAUUACCAGAAACAUUUACAUAUAUCAUACAAGCACAGCGUACAAGUAAAUGUGAUAACAUUCAUAGGUAAAAUAAUAAAAAGUAAAAGUAAUUUGUAAUGUGUAUUGCUUGUAUAUGAUAGAUAAAUUAACAUGAGAAUAUUUCUCGCAUAGUACAAAUGAGAUCAUCAACAGUGAUGAAGAUAAAUGUAAAAUGCAUAUUUCUUCCAUUCUGGAAGAAGUUACAAAAUUAAGAAAAAAAGUAAGAAUAUAUGAACAAAAAUGUAGGAGAUUGCAAAAGAAGGUGGUUUCCUUAACUUCACUUGUUAAGCAUUUGCAAGAUCAAAAAUUGAUUUCUGAAAAUGCUGUGGAAAUGUUAGAAGUAAGUGAAGUAUAAUUUCUGUACAUAUGUAUAAAAAGGAAUAUAAAAAUAUUGAAGGUAUUUGUUAGAUGGAACACAGGAGAAGACAUAUAAAGAAAUAUAUAUUUUAAUUCAAAUUGUUCUCGUGCAACAGAAUAUUGUGUCAGAAACAGAAAAACAAAUUAUAAAAAGACACUUGAAAAGGAACAAAAAAGGCAAAUUUUCUAGUGAAAUGAUUAUAACAUUGUUAUAAUCAUUGUUAUUUGCUAUGUCAUAUGUUACAAGUAAUAUUUUCGAUAAUGUUUUACAUAUGUUGGAACAAGUGCCAUUGCAAGACCAUAGAACUAUUUUAAUAAAAUUGAUAUUAUACAAGUACAUACAACUACGAUUACGACAUAUUUGUACUUCAAAACAAUACAAUACAAAGAAUAAGAAACAAAUUUACCAAAUUAAUAACUUUUAAAAAUCAAUGAAUGUCUAAAUAUUAAUGUUAUAAUUUUUGGUAAUUUACAUUUAAAUUGUCAGGUUCUUCAUUUAUUAUUAAACCUAUCUUCUAUAUAUAUUUUGUAUUCUUUCAUUAUUUUAUAUAAACCAUUUCAUAUUGCAGCACACUGAUUUUUUGUAUCUUACAUUAUUGCAUAUA